GCCAGGUGUGGUGGUGCACACCGGUAAUCCUAGCUGCUUGGGAGGCUGAGACAGGAGAAUCAUGAGUUCAAAAGCCAGCCUCAGCAAUUUAGCAAUAUAUAUGGCAUAUAUUAACAAUAAGCAAUCAGUGAGACCCUGUCUCUA
rnacentral:sRNA from 1 species